rnacentral:rRNA from 1 species
AUUGAACGCUGGCGGCAUGCUUUACACAUGCAAGUCGAACGGUAACAGGGUGCUUGCACCGCUGACGAGUGGCGAACGGGUGAGUAAUGCGUCGGAACGCACCGAGUAAUGGGGGAUAACGCAGCGAAAGCCGUGCUAAUACCGCAUACGCUCUGAGGGGGAAAGCGGGGGACCUUCGGGCCUCGCGUUAUUCGAGCGGCCGACGUCUGAUUAGCUAGUAGGUGAGGUAAGAGCUCACCUAGGCGACGAUCAGUAGCGGGUCUGAGAGGAUGAUCCGCCACACUGGGACUGAGACACGGCCCAGACUCCUACGGGAGGCAGCAGUGGGGAAUUUUGGACAGUGGGCGCAAGCCUGAUCCAGCCAUGCCGCGUGUCUGAAGAAGGCCUUCGGGUUGUAAAGGACUUUUGUCAGGGAGGAAAUCCUUAGCGCUAAUACCGUUGAGGGAUGACAGUACCUGAAGAAUAAGCACCGGCUAACUACGUGCCAGCCGCCGCCGUAA